rnacentral:rRNA from 1 species
UGGGGAAUAUUGCACAAUGGGCGAAAGCCUGAUGCAGCGACGCCGCGUGAGGGAUGACGGCCUUCGGGUUGUAAACCUCUUUCAGCAGGGACGAAGCGCAAGUGACGGUACCUGCAGAAGAAGCACCGGCUAACUACGUGCCAGCAGCCGCGGUAAUACGUAGGGUGCAAGCGUUGUCCGGAAUUACUGGGCGUAAAGAGUUCGUAGGCGGUUUGUCGCGUCGUUUGUGAAAACCAGCAGCUCAACUGCUGGCUUGCAGGCGAUACGGGCAGAGUUGAGUACUGCAGGGGAGACUGGAAUUCCUGGUGUAGCGGUGAAAUGCGCAGAUAUCAGGAGGAAGACCGGUGGAGAAGGCGGGUCUCUGGGCAGUAACUGACGCUGAGGAACGAAAGCGUGGGUAGCGAACAGG